CAGUCGCCGCGGGAAUACGGAGGGUGCAAGCGUUAAUCGGAAUUACUGGGCGUAAAGCGCACGCAGGCGGUCUGUCAAGUCGGAUGUGAAAUCCCCGGGCUCAACCUGGGAACUGCAUUCGAAACUGGCAAGCUAGAGUCUUGUAGAGGGGGGUAGAAUUCCAGGUGUAGCGGUGAAAUGCGUAGAGAUCUGGAGGAAUACCGGUGGCGAAGGCGGCCCCCUGGACAAAGACUGACGCUCAGGUGCGAAAGCGUGGGGAGCAAACAGGAUUAGAUACCCGUGUAGUCCCUGUCUCUUAUAC
rnacentral:rRNA from 1 species